rnacentral:rRNA from 1 species
UGGGGAAUAUUGCACAAUGGGCGCAAGCCUGAUGCAGCCAUGCCGCGUGUAUGAAGAAGGCCUUCGGGUUGUAAAGUACUUUCAGCGGGGAGGAAGGCGAUGUGGUUAAUAACCGCGUCGAUUGACGUUACCCGCAGAAGAAGCACCGGCUAACUCCGUGCCAGCAGCCGCGGUAAUACGGAGGGUGCAAGCGUUAAUCGGAAUUACUGGGCGUAAAGCGCACGCAGGCGGUUUGUCAAGUCGGAUGUGAAAUCCCCGGGCUCAACCUGGGAACUGCAUCCGAAACUGGCAGGCUUGAGUCUCGUAGAGGGGGGUAGAAUUCCAGGUGUAGCGGUGAAAUGCGUAGAGAUCUGGAGGAAUACCGGUGGCGAAGGCGGCCCCCUGGACGAAGACUGACGCUCAGGUGCGAAAGCGUGGGGAGCAAACA